rnacentral:rRNA from 1 species
AGCGAACGCUGGCGGCAGGCCUAACCCAUGCAAGUCGAACGAAGCCUUCGGGCUUAGAGGCGGACGGGUGAGUAACACGUGGGAACGUACCUUUUGGUUCGGAACAACUCAGGGAAACUUGAGCUAAUACCGGAUGAGCCCUUAGGGGGAAAGAUUUAUCGCCGAAAGACCGGCGCGCGUUAUAUUAGCUAGUUAGUGAGGUAAAGGCUCACCAAGGCACCGAUCUAUAGCUGGUCUGAUAGGAUGAUCAGCCACACUGGGACUUAGACACGGCCCAGACUCCUACGGGAGGCAGCAGUGGGGAAUCUUGCGCAAUGGGCAAAAGCCUGACGCAGCCAUGCCGCGUGAAUGGUGAAGGUCUUAGGAUUGUAAAGUUCUUUUUCCAGGGACGAUAAUGACGGUACCUGGAGAAAAAGCCCCGGCUAACUUCGUGCCAGCCGCCGCAGUAACAC